AACUGGUUAAAACUGGCAUUUACAUCAGCUAGAACUAUCAAAGUAGAUGCAUCAAUUUCUCCACUGGCUACUCCCAAACAAUUUGAACAAUUCAUUCAGGCAGCAAGUGUUUCCACCAAUAAAAUAAAAAGAAUUGAUUUCAUCCAGAAGAACUGUUUUUGAACUGUGGACUGUUUGAAAUAUUUUGCACCUGCUCAGAUAUCCCUUCACAG